rnacentral:rRNA from 1 species
UACGUAGGGUGCAAGCGUUAAUCGGAAUUACAGGGCGUAAAGCGUGCGCAGGCGGUUAUGCAAGACCGAUGUGAAAUCCCCGGGCUCAACCUGGGAACUGCAUUUGUGACUGUAUAGCUAGAGUACGGUAGAGGGGGAUGGAAUUCCGCGUGUAGCAGUGAAAUGCGUAGAUAUGCGGAGGAACACCGAUGGCGAAGGCAAUCCCCUGGACCUGUACUGACGCUCAUGCACGAAAGCGUGGGGAGCAAACAGG